AUUAGCAGCCGCAGUAAUUCCAGCUCCAAUAGCGUAUAUUAGUGUUGUUGCGGUUAAAAAGCUCGUAGUUGAAUUUCGGGAUUGGGAUAUAUCGGUUGUGCCUUUAGGGGCAUGAAACGGUGUGUAGCCAAUUUCUCACCUUCUGGUGAGUCGGGAUGCUCUUGGGUGUUUCGAUGAAUCAGGACCUUUACUUUGAAAAAAUUAGAGUGUUUAAAGCGGGCAUUUUUGCUUGAAUACAUUAGCAUGGAAUAAUAAAAUAGGACGAUGGUUUUAUUUUUUAUUUUGUUGGUUUUAGGACCACGUAAUGAUUAAUAGGGAUAGUUGGGGGCAUUAGUAUUCAAUUGUCAGAGGUGAAAUUCUUGGAUUUAUUGAGGACUAACUACUGCGAAAGCAUUUGCCAAGGAUGUUUUCAUUAAUCAAGAACGAAAGUUAGGGGAUCAAAGACGAUUUAUGUACGUCGUAGUCUUAACCAUAAACUAUGCCGACUAGGAAUCAGACAAAGUUCAUUUUUUAACGACUUGUUUGGUACCUUACG
rnacentral:rRNA from 1 species